rnacentral:rRNA from 1 species
CGGGAAUUCGAUUAACCUGGUUGAUCCUGCCAGUAGUCAUAUGCUUGUCUCAAAGAUUAAGCCAUGCAUGUAUAAGUAUAAAUUUGUUUAUGGUGAAACUGCGAAUGGCUCAUUACAACGGUUAUAGUUUACUUGAGAUAUAACUACUGGAUACCCGUAGUAACUCUAGAGCUAAUACAUUUAUCGGGACAUCAGUCUCGUGUUUAUUAGAUUUCACCGAACAGAUUUUCUGUUGGGGAGUCAUGAUAAAUUAACGAAUCGUGUAUCGAUGCUUCAAACAAGUUUCCGUCCCAUCAGCCAUGAUGGUUGUGUAUUGGACUACCAUGGCAGUUACGGGUAACGAGGAAUUGGGGUUCGAUUUCGGAGAGGGAGUCUGAGAAACGGCUACCACAUCUACGGAAGGCAGCAGGCGCGCAAAUUACCCAAUGUAAAUAUGUAUGAGGUAGUGACAAGAAAUAUCAAAGUAACCUUCGGGCUACUAUUGAAAUGGGUAAAAUUUAAACAAUUUUACGAGGAGCAACUGGAGGGCAAGUCUGGUGCCAGCAGCCGCGGCAACACCAGCUCCAGUAGCGUAUAUUAAAGUUGUUGCAGUUGAAACGCUCGUAGUCUGAAUUCAAUCCGCAAGGAAAUAAUCGCUCGCCUCACUAGCCACAGCGAAAAGCAUCUGCCAAGGAUGUUUUUCUUGAUCAAGAACGAAGGUCCAGGGUAUCGAAAGACGAUCAGAUACCGUCGUAGUCCUGACUGUAAACUAUGCCGACUGGGGGUUCAAUGAUAAGAAAUAUGAUAUCGUUGGGAUCCAGAGAGAAAUCAAAGUUUUUGGGUUCUGGGGGAAGUAUGGUCGCAAGGCUGAAACUUGAAGGAAUUGACGGAAGGGCACCACCAGGCGUGGAGCUUGCGGCUUAAUUUGACUCAACGCGGGGAAACUUACCAGGUCAAAACAUGCGAAGGAUUGACAGGCUGAUAGUCCUUUCUCGAUUGCAUGGCUGGUGGUGCAUGGCCGUUCUUAGUUGGUGGACUGAUCUGUCUGGUUAAUUCCGGUAACGAACGAGACCUUGGCCUGCUAACAAGAUAGUGUACUUCUGUGCACUAAGCUUCUUAGAGGGACAAUGGUGGUUACAUCACUGAAGCUCAAGGUAAUAACAGGUCUGUUAUGCCCUUAGAUGUCCUGGGCCGCACGCGUGCUACACUGACACACUCAGCAAGCCACUUGGUCGGCAGAUCAAGUAAAUCAUCAAAGUGUGUCUUGUUAGGGACAGUUCCUUGUAAUUGUGGAGCUCUAACAAGGAAUGCCUAGUAAGUGCAAGUCAACAUCUUGUGCUGAUUACGUCCCUGCCCUUUGUACACACCGCCCGUCGCUCCUACCGAUUUCGAGUGAUUAGGUGAGUUCCUCGAACCGCAAGGAAAGAGAAACAAAUCUAACUACUUAGAGGAAGGAGAAGUCGUAACAAGGUUUCCGUAGGUGAACCUGCAGAAGGAUCAA